rnacentral:rRNA from 1 species
GUGACCUCGAUCAGGUA